CUUUCCCGUCAUGUCUUCUUCUUUCUCUCGCCUAUGCAGCACACUAGCACAGCACAUCUCCUAUCCUCCCCCGAUUCUUUCUCCGGGCUGUGUGCAGCAUCCCUGCUCCUCCUUCUCACCGCCGGUCAGAUCUGCCCCUCCUCCUUCCCCCUGCCAGCGGCAGCAUUCCUCCGCCUGUCAGAUCUCCCCUGCCUCCUUCACUUAAAUCUUCGUCUGAGGGAGCCGCCGUGCUCGACGGCGGCGGGCGCGGGCGGCCUGUGGGCGGUGGCUGGGCGCAGCGGUGGCUCCUCUCCUCCCGACGGCUCUCGCAGCGGCUGGAUGCGGGAGCAAGGACGGGGGGCUCCACAAGAAGCAGCGUCGGCGAGCGUGUCCGCGGCCGCUCUGGUGGGGAAGGAAGCGCUCGGGUGGGACCCACGAGGUCAACCAUUUGCUAGACCCGGAGCAUCAUGGAUGGGGGGAUGCUGCACCACUACCAUCAGCUCCCAGCAAUUCUACAGCAUCACCUGGUUGAGAAAUAGAGACCUGAUCAUGCCCCCAAAGGGCCCAAACUAAGAACGGAUGCUAUGGAUUGCAGAAUAUAAAGGUGGUUUCACAUAAUGCUACAACUAAAGAGAAAGAGUACAUUUAAAGCUGGACUGCUGAUGAUGAACCUCUCCGUAAACUAUGUCAAGGACGUUGCAAGUAAUGUGUCUCACUUGUCUACUUGUGUUCAGUGGAAAUCUUGCGAAAUCACCUGAGUAUAUUGAGAUUUAUUCUGCUAUAUAAAGUGCUUCCAGGAAUACAGAUCGAGAACUAGCCACGGGGCCCUGAGGCAGAUUACGCCAUGAUUAUCGUGCUUCUCAAGUGGAUAUGUUUCUAGAUGCUACCAAAAUCAUGGUUCUUCUGAAGUGCAUAGCCCAACUUCUGGACGAACUGCUCCAGACCACCGUGAGUUGCAUCUAUCUUCUCCCUCGUGUGUUUAAUCUCCGAAGGACACAGGAGAACUGCCGUCUCCUCGACGCCAGAAACCGGCAGCAAGAAAUGCCGCCCGGCAGCCAUCAAAAUAACCCCGUCUUGUCCCUUCUUUCCUUUCCUCACUGCUUCUGCACGCCAAAGCCUGAGUUCCACCCGCAGCAUCGCCAAGUCCUUGUCUGCGCCCUAAUUCCCGCCAAUCGCCAUUGAUGUUGCCUCGCCGAAUUCCAGAGAACCAAAGCGCCAAGGGCUGAACCAUCACACCAGAAUCAAUACCUCAUCUUCAAGAUUCCAUUCAGAUGAUCGUCUACCCAACCCGUCAACUACGCCCGAUCAAUUUUGUGUUCCAAUUAAUUAGACUUCGUCCUGAACUUCGUCUCAAGAUCAUGUGGUGCCUGGUAAGCCGUUGAUCGAUCAAUGCUAUGAGCCCAUAUGUUUAUCUU